GUCGGUCCUCGGUAGUGGCUCCCGGACCAGGUGGUCCGAGCGCCUCGAUCGAGCACCGAC
rfam:Beutenbergia cavernae DSM 12333, complete genome.